GGAAUAUUAGUUCACCAACACAUCAGCGUGUAUACACGUGUAUAGUAAUUCCCCAACUGGAUCAAGAGGUUUGUAUAAAGAUCCCUUGCUGCUAAUGAAAUGGUUUAAUGGCUUUCCCGUAUCAGCAUUACCAAGUGUUUUACAUCUAUCAAGAGGUCUGUAUAAAGAUCCCUUGCUGCUAAUGAAAUGGUUUAAUGGCUUUCCCGUAUCAGCAUUACCAAGUGUUUUACAUCUAUCAAGAGGUCUGUAUAAAGAUCCCUUGCUGCUAAUGAAACGGUUUAAUGGCUUUCCCGUAUCAGCAUUACCAAGUGUUUUACAUCUACAAGCAAAUCCACUUGCAUGUACUCUAGUGCUAUCACUAAACAAAUGACAUUGAUAAAGAGAGGAUAAACCUGCCACAACCUACAUCUAUAAACCAGCAAGGGAUCUUUUACAUGCACUUUCUCAUAGACAGGACAGUACACACCAGACUGAUUAACAGUUGUGGGGAUGUGGUUGGAACAGGAAAAACCCCCGACUCCACAGAUGCUUUAAUAUAUAUGAAAAUCUGCAUCACGAGAACCUAGCUGACAAACUAUCGAGAAACGACACCAGGCAGGAAACUAGACUGUCCUGUGUUUUGUUUCACCAUUUCAAAAAACAUACAAUUCACGUCCAGAAACCACAUGUAAUUCACAAUAAAACUAGCAAUUUUGAAUUAUCGGUUGUUGGUUUCAUGCAAAAAGCUUUUUAAAAUGUGUACAGUUUUAAAUGCAGUAUUUCAGUAACCUAAUUGUAUUCAAUUGUAUUAUUGACACUGUGAAGAAAAAAGGUUUAAAUAAUUCUCCCUCACGAAGACAACUUCGUCAAUGUGGAGACAGAACAGAAAAUGGUUUUGCACUGCUGAAAGACAUGAAAUGAACACUCGCUUGGCAUAAAAUAAAAAAACUUCUGUCAGUAAAAUAAUACACUUGUCACGAAACGAAACCAACAUAAUGUUCAGCUGCAACAUAAAGUUCACCUGUAACAUUAAAUUCUCGUUUGGUUUUUGUUGUUGUUUUAAAAGAAGAAUUCACAUGCAUUGAAAUUCAGGACCAUUAUACUUUGAUACACCGUUUACGAGUGUGCAGAAAUGAGCAUUUGUUAUCAAGUAAACAUAUUUUAACCCUGGUCUGCAUUUCUUUUCGGAGUUCAGUAUAUAGUUUUAUGUUCAUUCAUAACAAAACUUUGUUUAACACCACCACUAGAGCACACUGAUUUAUUAAUCAUCGGCUAUUGGAUGUCAAACAUUUGGGGAAACCUAUUACAUUUUUUUUCCAUUAGUAGCAAGAUAUCUUUUACAUGCACCAUCCCACAGACAGGAUAGAUAGCACAUACCAUGGCAUUUGAUGUACCAGUCGUGGUGCACUGGCUCGACUGAGAAAUAGCCCAAUGGGCCCACCGACGUGGACCAAGACACCAUACAGUAUCUCCGGUUUGGUACAGACCAUUACCCUCCGUCCCAAAAAGAGCAGUUUUCAAACCCAAGAUGUGAUGCCUGGCAGGCAAUGUUGUUGGGGGGGGGAGAGGAGAGUAGUCUAGAGCAAAGUUUUUACGGUGAGCUGGAUGAUGCUCGCCUAAAAGCACUAAAAACAAAAAGUGCUUGGAGAGUUAGUGCUUACACCGAAGCAGCACAGCUUACACCUUAAUAAGCUACACUAAUGGAAACUGUUUACUUAUAUAAAUACAUGGACUAUGUGGCUAUAACCAGCGGUUCAUGCAUACUUUCCUGGCAAGCAACUUGGGAUGCGUCAACAGCUUUUUUCGAGGACAGAUAUUGAUGGUGAGUUAGGUUAUGAUUCAUUACCACAGACGUCUUGGCAUUAUCAGGGCCCCAUGUUAUGAAGCAAUCUUAGAGUACGGUACGGUAGUUAUGCACCCAAGACAACAUUGGCCCUGUUUUGCAACACUAUCUUAGUGCUGAAGUCUGUUGGAACUGGGAGUGGUAGUUUGUAUUUCCCAAAUUUUUCCCACUUUCUGGGUAAUGUUAUAAUAUGACAAAAGCUAUACACUAUACACUGUCCUUUUCAAUACCAAAACUGGUUUUCAAACAGCAGGUAUAUUAUUAAUUUUAUAGACACUUUGGAGAAAGCAACUAUUCUUAAAUAACAAUUUGUAGACAACACCCCUUAAAAAAAAAGAUUUAAAAAUGUUUUUUAUUUUCAACUCAUCAAUUCACCCAUUCAAGGAGAAAAAGACCUGUACAGACAGUAACAUAACCUACUAUAUCUCAAAUUUUGAAAUACGGCCAUAUGAAAACAACCUCCAAGUAGAGGAGUAAAGAAAACAUCCAAACUAAAAUGUUUUUAAGAAUACACGGAUGGGUGGGUAAAUGAAUGCUUAUCGACAACCCCAAACUAAAAUGUUUUUAAGAAUACACGGAUGGGUGGGUAAAUGAAUGCUUAUUGACAACCCCAAACUAAAAUGUUUUUAAGAAUACACGGAUGGGUGGGUAAAUGAAUGCUUAUCGACAACCCCAAACCAAAAUGUUUUUAAGAAUACACAAAUGGUGGGUGAAUGAAUGCUUAUCAAGAACCCCUGUUUUUGUAACAUACAUAGGGAUGGACGGAUGAUGGAUUUACUUCCCUUAGUUUCAAAAACAAAAAGAGAAAAAAAGCUAGGGAAUGAAGUGUACAGCACUGUAAUACAAUGUUUAAUAUACAGGAUUGGUAACAUGAUAGUUGCUUUAAAAGCCAUAGUGUCCAGUUAGUGAUGAAUCUUAGUGAUGUAUGUAAUAUGACAAAUAAUGCUACAAAACAAAAACAAAAAUCCUCUGACAAUUAAUGGAUGUGGCUUGCACAGGAUCAAUUGCCUUCGAUAUACUUAGGUUUUCUCCCAUUCCACCCAGUGCUCUACAACUGGUAUGAUAUUCUGUAAAUCGGGAAAUGUUAGCGAGCAUAAAAUGACAGCGAAUUAAGUGAGGCCAUACAUAACACUAAUAUUUCAUGACAUUUUAAUACAAACAUUUGAUCUAAAACCCAGACACCCCAAAGUUAUUUUUCUUGUUAUUUAACUUUAUGUGCACCUUAAUAGAGACAAUUGAUCUAAAACCCACCACCCCAGUUAUUUCUUGUUCUUUACAUGCACCUUAAUUCAGACAUUUGAUCUAAAGCCCACCACUACCCCAAAGUUAGUUCUAUUGUUUUUCUCUUCAUGUGCACCAUAAUACAGAUAUUUGAUCCUAAACCCAGUCACUCCAAAGUUAGUUCUAUUGUUAACUCUUUACAUGAACCUUCCCACAGACAGGACAGUACACACCACAGGCUCUUACAUACCAGUAAUGGAGCACAGGUUGUAAUGGGGGUAAACUGCAAUGAAUCUUAUCAACGAGGAGGGGGUGAGAGAGAGGAAUCAAUCCUACUAGCCACACCACAGCUGGUACUUUACCAAUGAGCUACAUCCCCCACAUCCAGACAGGUCUUGGGGAGACUGCACAUAACAAUGCAUGUUGUAGGAAGUGCACAUAACAAUGCAUGUUGUAGGAAGUGCACAUAACAAUGCAUGUUGUAGGAAGUGGACAGAUUGUCGAUGAACAUACACUGAUGUCAAAGAGAAACUUUACAUACAAAAGUUAGAAAAUGUUAACAAUUUAGAAACCACCUUACAAACACUUUGCAUGUAUAAUGAAGUGCAUUGUGACGUUUAGAUGCCGUGUAAAAUUUCUUCUGAAUGUCAGUAUAGAUGUAGAGUUUCAAAAGAGAAGAAAGAAGAAACAAACCCUGACAAAAAGACCCCCUACUGCAGCCAAUUCUGAAUUACAGCUGGAGACAGACAGACAGUUGACCACUACCUGUAGUAAGACUACCAGGAUUUACACACAGAUUGUAAAAUAUCAAACACAUUUUGUGACAUGAGAAAUGGAUUUUUAAAAAUACAAUUAUGAUAACACCACGACUCAUGACUGGAUAUAAAAACACACAAUACAUACAGUGUACAUUAUAUGUAGGACAUAAAAAUAGCACUUUGGGAAAGCUGCAAGAUAAUGACAACCUAUUUGUACAGACACAGGUACAGACACGGGUACACACGGACAUGAACGACAGCCCAUGUAUACAUCAGUAACAGUCACUGCAUUCACAAACGCAGAGCCUUUUCACUACAAGCCUACGUACAGGUAGACACAUUUUCGGCAAAUAUAAAACCAAAAGAAAAUUGCUAAUUUAUAUAUAUAUAUAUAUAUAUAUAUAUAUAUAUAUAUAUAUAUAUAUAUAUAUAUAU
rnacentral:lncRNA from 1 species